AACGAACGCUGGCGGCAGGCCUAACACAUGCAAGUCGAGCGGGGACUUCGGUCCUAGCGGCGGACGGGUGAGUAACGCGUGGGAACGUGCCCUUUGCUUCGGAAUAGCCCCUGGAAACGGGGGAGUAAUACCGGAUGUGCCCUUUGGGGGAAAGAUUUAUCGGCAAAGGAUCGGCCCGCGUUGGAUUAGGUAGUUGGUGGGGUAAUGGCCUACCAAGCCGACGAUCCAUAGCUGGUUUGAGAGGAUGAUCAGCCACACUGGGACUGAGACACGGCCCAGACUCCUACGGGAGGCAGCAGUGGGGAAUCUUAGACAAUGGGCGCAAGCCUGAUCUAGCCAUGCCGCGUGAGCGAUGAAGGCCUUAGGGUUGUAAAGCUCUUUCGUGGGGGGAAGAUAAUGACGGUACCCCAAGAGAAGCCCCGGCUAACUCCGUGCCAGCAGCCGCGGUAAU
rnacentral:rRNA from 1 species